rnacentral:rRNA from 1 species
CCUACGGGAGGCAGCAGUGGGGGAUAUUGCACAAUGGGGGAAACCCUGAUGCAGCGACGCCGCGUGGGUGAAGAAGCGCCUCGGCGCGUAAAGCUCUGUCAGCAGGGAAGAAAAUGACGGUACCUGAAGAAGAAGCCCCGGCUAACUACGUGCCAGCAGCCGCGGUAAUACGUAGGGGGCAAGCGUUAUCCGGAUUUACUGGGUGUAAAGGGGGCGCAGACGGCGAUGCAAGCCUGGAGUGAAAGCCCGGGGCCCAACCCCGGGACUGCUCUGGGAACUGGGUGGCUAGAGUGCAGGAGGGGCAGGCGGAAUUCCUGGUGUAGCGGUGAAAUGCGUAGAUAUCAGGAGGAACACCGGUGGCGAAGGCGGCCUGCUGGACUGCAACUGACGUUGAGGCCCGAAAGCGUGGGGAGCAAACAGGAUUAGAUACCCGAGUAGUC